rnacentral:rRNA from 1 species
UACGUAGGGACCAAGCGUUAUCCGGAAUUAUUGGGCGUAAAGGGUUCGUAGGCGGACCAUCAAGUCCGAGUUGAAAGCCCACGGCUUAACCGUGGAGGGUGCUCGGAAACUGAUAGGUCUUGAAUUCAGAAGAGGCAAGUGGAAUUCUAUGUGGAGCGGUGGAAUGCGUAGAUAUAUGGAGGAACACCAGUGGCGAAGGCGGCUUGCUGGGCUGAUAUUGACGCUGAUGAACGAAAGCGUGGGGAGCAAACAGG